GACGAACGCUGGCGGCGUGCUUAACACAUGCAAGUCGAACGAUGAAGCUGGAGCUUGCUCUAGCGGAUUAGUGGCGAACGGGUGAAUAACACGUGAGCAAUCUGCCCUUGACUCUGGGAUAACUGCGGGAAACUGUAGCUAAUACCGGAUACUUUCACCGGGGGGCAUCCUCUGGUGAUGAAAGAAUUUCGGUCAAGGAUGAGCUCGCGGCCUAUCAGCUUGUUGGUGAGGUAACGGCUCACCAAGGCGACGACGGGUAACCGGCCGGAGAGGGUGACCGGUCACACUGGGACUGAGACACGGCCCAGACUCCUACGGGAGGCAGCAGUGGGGAAUAUUGCACAAUGGGCGCAAGCCUGAUGCAGCAACGCCGCGUGAGGGAUGAAGGCCUUCGGGUUGUAAACCUCUUUUAGCAGGGAAGAAGCGAAAGUGACGGUACCUGCAGAAAAAGCACCGGCUAACUACGUGCCAGCCGCCGCAGUAA
rnacentral:rRNA from 1 species